CCUACGGGUGGCAGCAGUGAGGAAUAUUGGUCAAUGGACGCAAGUCUGAACCAGCCAUGCCGCGUGCAGGAAGACGGCUCUAUGAGUUGUAGACUGCUUUUGUACGAGGGUAAAUCGCGAUACGUGUAUCGGGUUGAAAGUAUCGUACGAAUAAGGAUCGGCUAACUCCGUGCCAGCAGCCGCGGUAAUACGGAGGAUUCAAGCGGUAUCCGGAUUUAUUGGGUUUAAAGGGUGCGUAGGCGGAAUAUCCAGUCAGCGGUAAAAUUUCGGGGCUCAACCCCGUCGUGCCGUUGAAACUGAUGUUCUUGAGUGGGCGAGAAGUAUGCGGAAGGCGUGGUGUAGCGGUGAAAUGCAUAGAUAUCACGCAGAACUCCGAUUGCGAAGGCAGCAUACCGGCGCCCAACUGACGCUGAAGCACGAAAGCGUGGGUAUCGAACAGGAUUAGAUACCCGAGUAGUC
rnacentral:rRNA from 1 species